rnacentral:tmRNA from 1 species
GGGGUCGACUGGUUUUGACAGCGAGUGGAAUUGAUUAGUAAGCACGUCGAGCAUUGUACUUUUUGCUCGUAAAUCCAAAGGUACGAACUUAUAAACGGCGAAAAUAAUUACGCUUUAGCUGCUUAAUCCGAAGUUUAGUACGAUUUGCCUAGUCCCGACAAGGUCGGGAAGCUAGAUUCACCUCAAAAGCCUUGGUUUAUGGCGGUUGGUACAGGUGAACCGUAAAAGUAAACCUAGGAAAGGUAAUGCUUUGAAUCCUUUCUGACAACUAUAAAGCUAAGCAAAAAGUGGCUGUUCUUGGCCUUGCUUUUUGUCGAAAACUCAAUCAAGAAAUAAGCGUGUAGAAAGCUAUUGGAUUGCUUGUUUGGACCCGAGUUCGAUUCUCGGCGACUCCACUA